ACUCGGAUGGUGAAACGGUAUCAUGCUUGCCUUCCAUUACCUAAUGCAGCAAGCGGCACGGGUUCGACUCCCGUUCCGAGUA